CCUCAUAUACGUCCAGUUUGAAGAAUUGCACCACUUAUCUCACCUCGACGCUCUCGACAAAUCUCUUGUCAGCUGCUUUUUUCUGUAAGUAUUUCUUUCUUUUUAUUAAACUUCUACCUUCUUUAAUUAUAUGUAUAUAAUCCUUACACACUUAGAAUUUGUAUGUAUAUAUGCAGCCACCAAAUGAGAGAGCUCAGAAACAAAAAUGACAAUAGUAUUGGGUUCGUUGACUCUUAUAUUGUUUUCAAGGCUCCGCAGGC
rnacentral:lncRNA from 1 species